ensembl:lncRNA LINC00408 long intergenic non-protein coding RNA 408
AUACCCCGAGCUGGCGGCUUGAGCCUGUGGUAUCUAGGCUCACCUCACUGCGGUUGGUGGAGGUGAUGGAGGUUGCAGCUUGGCCAGCAUGGUAGAAAGGUGGCAGGACUCUAGAUUCUAGAGGGCAACCUCUGUUUGCUCAUGCUGGAGCGUGGCAGGUGCACAAUGUUUCCUUGGGAAUCCUCAGCAGGGCACGUCUGGCUUUUACCACCCAGUUGCUUCGAGCCAGGAGAUGGAGGAGUCAUCUGUUGCACGCUGGAGGCUGGAGCCUGCAGAUGGCAUGGUUCUGUGGCUCACCUCGCUGCAGUUGGUGGCAGAGACAGAGACUGCAGCUUGACCAGAGUGGUGGAGUGAUAUGUAUCUCAAGAGCACUCCACAACAAAGAUUCUGCCUGCAAUCCUCCACUUCAAGGUCUGUUCCAGGAAACCUGUGUAACACAGUUAUGCAUAGAGUGGUCUUAGGAAGCUGACUCUAACAUGAAAAUUUAGAGUUGGAUCUUUUGCUGACAUAUUGAAUAUUCAUAAGAGCAUAUGAUACAUUUGUCUAUCAUAAACAUGUCAUUUCAAAAAACCCUCAAAGUUGCCUUGUAGAACAUAAUUUUAAAACUAGUGUGUAGGAAUAUUUCAUAUCAGUUAUUCAGUCUUCUUAAUAUCUGAACCGAAAUUAAUCUUCCAUUCUGCUUUUAUUUAUAAAUAAUGAUUUAUUGUCAGAUUCAAUAAUUUAUAUUUUCAUUUAUUCUAAGGUAGGAAAUACCAGCAUAAAAAUAAAUUAUUUGAAACAAA